GUGCUAGGGCUGAGCUUGAGCAGCUGGGGUUGAUAGUUGAGAGCCACCAUCACAGUGCUACGCAACUCGAGGAGGCUCUCAAGAGGACCAUGAGUGGAGCAUCGCAGUUGACCACACUGCUAGCAGGCAAAGAGCAGCAAA
rnacentral:SRP_RNA from 1 species